AUUCUUUUGUAGUUUGUGGGUGUGAUAAUUGGGUUUUCACACUCCUGUGUGAGAUGUGCCUCCCUUAAACAUUGUUAUGAUAUUGGCACAUUACCUGACA